AUUGAACGCUGGCGGCGUGGCUAAAGCAUGCAAGUCGCACGGAGCCGCAAGGCUCAGUGGCGACGGGUUAGUAAUACGAUCGAACGUACCCUGAGGUGGAGGAUAGCGGGCGGGAAACCGCCGGUAAUACUCCAUGAUCUCCCCCGGAGCAAAGUCGCAAGGCGCCUUUGGAUCGGCGAUCGUCCUAUCAGCUAGUUGGCGGGGUAACGGCCCACCAAGGCGAUGACGGGUAGCAGGUGUGAGAGCACGACCUGCAACAUCGGGGCUGAGACACUGCCCGGACUCCUACGGGAGGCUGCAGCGACGAAUCUU
rnacentral:rRNA from 1 species